rnacentral:ncRNA from 2 species
UUUUUUGAAAAAAGCCGAGCGCAUAUUCCUAAACCCCUUUGGUAUGGAAUUGCGCCAUUGGGUAUAAUUGGAAACGAUUAUGCCUCCCGUAUUUGGAAAGGCAACAGUGGAAAUAUAAC